UCAGGAUGAACGCUAGCGGCAGGCUAACACAUGCAAGUCGAGGGGCGAGCGGGAUGUAGCAAUACAUUGCCGGCGACCGGCGGAUGGGUGCGUAACGCGUAUGCAACCUACCUUAUACAGGGGAAUAACCUUUCGAAAGGGAGACUAACACCCCAUAGUAUUGAUUUAAGGCAUCUUAGAUUAAUUAAAUAUUUAUAGGUAUAAGAUGGGCAUGCGUAUGAUUAGCUAGUUGGUAAGGUAACGGCUUACCAAGGCGACGAUCAUUAGGGGUUCUGAGAGGAAGGUCCCCCACACUGGUACUGAGACACGGACCAGACUCCUACGGGAGGCAGCAGUGAGGAAUAUUGGUCAAUGGGCGCAAGCCUGAACCAGCCAUGCCGCGUGCAAGGAAGACGGCCUUAUGGGUUGUAAACUGCUUUACAUAAGACUAACCGUAUAUUUGCGAAUAUACCUGAAUGUAUUAUGAGAAUAAGGAUCGGCUAACUCCGUGCCAGCCGCCGC
rnacentral:rRNA from 1 species